AUGGCUGUCCUGGUGCUGUUGCUCUGCUUGGUGACAUUUCCAAGCUGUGUCCUGUUCCAGGUGCAGCUGAAGGAGUUCGAACCUGGUCUGGUAACUGCCUCUGGGUUACUACUAACCAGCAAUAGUGUAAGCUGGAUUCCACAUCCUCCAGGAAAGGGUCUGGAGUGUAUUGGAGCAAUAUGGAGUGGUGGAAGCACACAUUAUAGUUCAUCUCUCAAAUACCGACUGAGCAUCCAUAGCGACACCUCCAAAAGCCAAGUUUUCUUAAAAAUGAACAGUCUGCAAACUGAUGAUACAGGCACUUACUACUGUACCAGAAACACAGUGAAGGAAGUCCAGUAUGAACUUGCACAAAACUUUCCCUACAGGGAUUCUUAG